UACGUAGGGUGGCAAGCGUUGUCCGGAUUUACUGGGCGUAAAGUGUGCGCUAGGUGGCCGCGCAAGUCGAGUGUGAAAUCCCCGAGCUUAACUUGGGAAUUGCGCUCGAAACUACGUGGCUCGAGUGUGGCAGAGGAAGGUGGAAUUCCACGUGUAGCGGUGAAAUGCGCAGAUAUCAGGAGGAACACCGGUGGCGAAGGCGGAUCUCUGG
rnacentral:rRNA from 1 species